rnacentral:rRNA from 1 species
AUUGAACGCUGGCGGCAUGCCUUACACAUGCAAGUCGAACGGUAACGGGCCUUCGGGUGCCGACGAGUGGCGAACGGGUGAGUAAUGUAUCGGAACGUACCUUUCAGUGGGGGAUAACGUAGCGAAAGUUACGCUAAUACCGCAUAUUCUGUGUGCAGGAAAGCGGGGGAUCGCAAGACCUUGCGCUGAUUGAGCGGCCGAUAUCAGAUUAGCUAGUUGGUGAGGUAAAGGCUCACCAAGGCGACGAUCUGUAGCGGGUCUGAGAGGAUGGUCCGCCACACUGGAACUGAGACACGGUCCAGACUCCUACGGGAGGCAGCAGUGGGGAAUUUUGGACAAUGGGGGCAACCCUGAUCCAGCCAUGCCGCGUGAGUGAAGAAGGCCUUCGGGUUGUAAAGCUCUUUGGCCGGGAAGAAAUCGUAUCAGCUAAUACCUGGUGCGGAUGACGGUACCGGCAUAAGAAGCACCGGCUAACUACGUGCCAGCCGCCGCGGUAAUAC